UGGGGGAUAUUGCAUAAUGGGCGAAAGCCUGAUGCAGCGACGCCGCGUGGGGGAUGAAGGCCUUCGGGUUGUAAACUUCUUUUGUUUUGAACAAGGCAUGCUAAUGGGUGUGUAGAGUGUAGGGGUUGAUUAGCGCCGGCCAACUACGUGCCAGCAGCUGCGGUAAUUUGCAGGGAGCGUGCGUUGUCUGGAAUUAUAUGGCGUAUAGGGCUUGGAGGUGGCUGGUUGCGUCUGUCGUGAAGGCUCAUGGCUUAACUGUGGGUUUGCGGUGAGUACGAGCUGGCAUGUGUGCAGUAGGUGAGGCUGGAGUUCCUGGUGUAGCGGUGGGAUGAGCAGAUAUCAGGGGGAAUAACGGUGGCGGAGACGGGUCUCUGGGCUGUUGCUGACACUGAGGAGGGAAUGCAUGGGGGGCGAACAGG
rnacentral:rRNA from 1 species